rnacentral:lncRNA from 1 species
GUUGGUUUGUGUUGUAGGUUUAAGGCCUGGUAUAGAGCUACGCGGUGUGUUUUCACUUUAAAAGCCGUAAAAGGUCCGUAGUAGUAUCUCCCAGAGACGCGGACGCGCGUCUUAAAAUCAAGCGGUCGAAAAUAAGAUCGUAAGCAGAGUUGGGGGCUGUUUGAAAUACUUCGGUUGGAGGCCAAAGGAUAAAUAAGAUCCUUAAAUUCUAUUAAUUGGUGAAAUAUAUAAUUUGGUGAAUUAAUGUUCGGUUUUUUGUAACUAUAAAAGUAUACGAGGUAAGUUGUAGUCGCGGUAAGUAUAAUUUGGGUGCAGGGAACAGAUAAAAGAAGGUAAGAAAAUGUUGGAAUUACUUGAUUGCGAAGGAUGGGUGAAAAUGGUAAGUGAAGCGUCACCUCUUUUGAAAAAGAUGGCGGGAAAAGCCCUGAACAAAGCAGUCGAGGCCUGUGCACAAGGAUUCAGAGAACAAAAGAGAGACCCAAAGGCUCCACAAACACUGGAGUUCUUUUGCGGGGUGUUGACUGCAACUGUGGAGGCCUGCACGAUGGAACUGCGGGAGGAGGAAAAGUUAAAGAAGAACAGCGGACUUUCGAAAAGUGAGAAGAAAUUGCUGGAACUCACAAUCAGUAAGUAUUACAAGCUGGGAAAACGAAUCGAACCUAUCCUGGAGCUGGCAACAGCGCACUGGAUGAAAUACGAAAAGAUUUUUUCCCCCACUUCGGGGGGCGGGACCCGAAAGCCCCUCCCAAGAGGAGGAGCUCCCGCCUUGGCCCCGACGGCCCCUCCUCCAUACGAGAAGGGAAGAGAGUCAAGCUCCACCCUAUACCCGCAGCUAACUGUCCAUGGAGUGAUGGAUGUUGAUGUGGCAGCCUCAAACUCGUUAUCAGUGGAGGAGCAUGAUAAGGUAAGGACUUUAAUAACCCGCUCUUACACUGAUAACAAACCUGCACCAAGGGAUGCAAGUGGACAAUUGUGGGGGAUUAAAGUGAUCGAACAAACGGGAAAAUACGCUCAAGACACAAUGGAAGCCAUUCAUGCGCUGAGGAGAAACUCACAGGCGCAGACGCAGCAGGCAACAGAAGAAUACCAAAAGGCCCAACAAGAACUACUGGAUAAAUUUGAUGCAGAAAAAGAAGAAAGAAAGGCCGAGGUUCACGAACUAACCGAAAGAAUAC